GACGAACGCUGGCGGCGUGCUUAACACAUGCAAGUCGAACGGAAAGGCCCUGCUUUUGUGGGGUGCUCGAGUGGCGAACGGGUGAGUAACACGUGAGUAACCUGCCCUUGACUUUGGGAUAACUUCAGGAAACUGGGGCUAAUACCGGAUAGGAGCUCCUGCUGCAUGGUGGGGGUUGGAAAGUUUCGGCGGUUGGGGAUGGACUCGCGGCUUAUCAGCUUGUUGGUGGGGUAGUGGCUUACCAAGGCUUUGACGGGUAGCCGGCCUGAGAGGGUGAACGGCCACAUGGGGACUGAGAUACGGCCCAGACUCCUACGGGAGGCAGCAGUGGGGAAUAUUGCACAAUGGGCGGAAGCCUGAUGCAGCAACGCCGCGUGCGGGAUGACGGCCUUCGGGUGGUAAACCGCUUUCGCCUGUGACGAAGCGUGAGUGACGGUAAUGGGUAAAGAAGCACCGGCUAACUACGUG
rnacentral:rRNA from 1 species